GGCCUGCGUGUAAGUAUUUGCAAUAGUAGCUAUGGUUGAAAAACAAAAAAGUUGUUAAUUCUGUUUGCCAACUGUUUCUUUUUCUUGUUUUGCAGUCCCUUAACCACCUAUCAUCACACCUGUCAGGGUCGAUGAUGAAGGCAUGGCUGGUGUACCAGCUGCUGGAAUCCAACCACAUAAUAGUAAUAGUUUGUUAGUUGGUCAAACUAGUUUGUUGGCAAUUAUUCAGAGCUAGGCUACCUAGCCUACAUCACUUAUUGUUCUUUGCAUUUGCUCUGCAGUUACUCCAUGUGAAUCCUCCACCAUCGGGGGAGAAACCUAUGAGGCCUUUCAAGGGAACCAUCAAGAUGGAACGGAUACAGUCUCCAAAGAGAUUUUCAGUUUCCUGGAGGGUAUGGAGAGGAGGAUUAUGCUGAAGUUGGAAAGGAUGCACGAGGAC